rnacentral:rRNA from 1 species
CCUACGGGAGGCAGCAGUGGGGAAUAUUGGGCAAUGGGCGAAAGCCUGACCCAGCAACGCCGCGUGAAGGAAGAAGGCUUUCGGGUUGUAAACUUCUUUUGACAGGGAAGAGCAGAAGACGGUACCUGUCGAAUAAGCCACGGCUAACUACGUGCCAGCAGCCGCGGUAAUACGUAGGUGGCAAGCGUUGGCCGGAGUUACUGGGUGUAAAGGGCGGGUAGCCGGGCUGACAAGUCAGAUGUGAAAUACGGGGGCUCAAACCGCGAACUGCAUUUGAAACUGUUGGUCUUGAGUAUCGGAGAGGCAGGCGGAAUUCCUAGUGUAGCGGUGAAAUGCGUAGAUAUUAGGAGGAACACCAGUGGCGAAGGCGGCCUGCUGGACGACAACUGACGGUGAGGCGCGAAAGCGUGGGGAGCAAACAGGAUUAGAUACCCGGGUAGUC